CAUAAGACUCAAUUUCUGGGCUGUUAUGUCCAACGUUUGACCGUCCGUUUUAUAUAAAUUUUUUUUAUAAUUAGUAUUUUCAUUAUUGUUGGAUGAUAAAACAUGAAUAAUAUUUGAUGCAUGACUUGUCUUUUAAAAUUUUUUCAUAUUUUUUUCAAAUAAGAUGGACAGUUAUACGUUAGACAUGGAAACAUAGA
rfam:Oryza sativa (indica cultivar-group) chromosome 1, whole genome shotgun sequence.